rnacentral:rRNA from 1 species
AGUAACACGUGAGCAACCUGCCUUUCAGAGGGGGAUAACGGCUGGAAACGGUCGCUAAUACCGCAUAACGUUGCGAUAGGACAUCCUAAUGCAACCAAAGGAGCAAUCCGCUGAAAGAUGGGCUCGCGUCUGAUUAGAUAGUUGGCGGGGUAACGGCCCACCAAGUCGACGAUCAGUAGCCGGACUGAGAGGUUGAACGGCCACAUUGGGACUGAGACACGGCCCAG